GACGAACGCUGGCGGCGUGCUUAACACAUGCAAGUCGAACGGAAAGGCCCUGCUUUUGUGGGGUGCUCGAGUGGCGAACGGGUGUGUAACACGUGAGUAACCUGCCCUUGACUUUGGGAUAACUUCAGGAAACUGGGGCUAAUACCGGAUAGGAGCUCCUGCUGCAUGGUGGGGGUUGGAAAGUUUCGGCGGAUGGGGAUGGACUCGCGGCUUAUCAGCUUGUUGGUGGGGUAGUGGUUUACAGAGGCUUUGACGGGUAGCCGGCCUGAGAGGGUGAGCGGCCACUGGGGGACUGAGACACGGCACAGACUCCUACGGGGGAGAGGAGGGGGGAAUAUUACAAAAUGGGCGGGAGCCUGAUGCAGCAGCGCCGCGUGCGGGAUGACGGCCUGCGGUUUGUAAACCUCUUUCGCCUGUCACGAAGCGUGAGUGACGGGAAGGGGUAGAGAAGCACCGGCUAACUACGUG
rnacentral:rRNA from 1 species